UUUAAGGUCUGACCUGCCCGCUGAAUAGUUGAAUGGCCGCAGUAUUUUGACUGUGCAAAGGUAGCAUAAUCAUUAGUUUUUUAAUUGAAAGCUGGUAUGAAUGGUUUGAUGAAGAAAAGACUGUCUUAAUAUUAAUAAUUAAAAUUUUAUUUUUAAGUUAAAAAGCUUAAAUUUUUUAAAAAGACGAGAAGACCCUAUAGAGUUUAAUUAAUUUUUAUAUAGUAAUUUUUUGGAGUUAAAAAUUUAUUAUUUAUUGAUUAAUUUUAUUGGGGUGAUAAGAAAAUUUGAUAAACUUUUCUUUUAUAAAAAUAUUGAUUUAUAGAUUUUUGAUCCAAUUUUUUUGAUUAUAAGAAAAAAUUACCUUAGGGAUAACAGCGUAAUUUUUUUUGAGAGCUCAAAUCGAAAAGAAAGAUUGCGACCUCGAUGUUGGAUUAAAGUAAAAUUUUGAUGCAGAAGUUAAAAUUUUAAGUCUGUUCGACUUUUAAAACUUUACA
rnacentral:rRNA from 1 species